rnacentral:rRNA from 1 species
AUACGGAGGUGGCAAGCGUUGUUCGGAAUCACUGGGCGUAAAGGGCGCGCAGGCGGUUUGGUAAGUCAGAUGUGAAAGCCCACGGCUCAACCGUGGAAGUGCAUUUGAAACUGUCAGACUUGAGUACUAGAGGGGAAAGUGGAAUUCCCGGUGUAGAGGUGAAAUUCGUAGAUAUCGGGAGGAAUACCGGUGGCGAAGGCGACUUUCUGGCUAGAUACUGACGCUGAGGCGCGAAAGCGUGGGGAGCAAACAGGAUUAGAAACCCUAGUAGUCC